AAAGACACAUUGGGGCUGUCUGGGGCAAAAGACACCGCGAGGCCUAGCUUUGAUUCUUUCAUGAACACACUCAUUGCCGGGAGAGGCUGGUGAGGCAGCCAGUCCUAACAGUGGUCCUUAGAGGGAAGGUGGAGGACAGCAGCCUUGGGCUAACAUCGGUCAGGAUGCUGAGCUGUGAAGACUUGCUUCAGCCAUGGAGGAGUGGAAACUGUCUUCUCACCUGCCAACAAGCCUCUAGGUUUCAAAUGGUCCUAGCUGAUCUGGGGGAAUCGGAAGAGAGCAGAGAAGGGGAUCCAGACAGGCUCAGAUGGAGAGGAUGGCAUCUGCCUGAGACAGACAGGAAAAGGUCCAAGUCGGAGCCACCCGAGCAAUGGCUUCCAAAGCAGAGGCAGAGGAUACCCGAAUACCCCAAAUAAAGACCCUCUCUGUAGACUAGAUUUGUCCAAGAGUGUAGACUAGAACUUCACUGUCAGAGACAGGGUUCCUCUGUAUAGCAGCCCUGGCUGAUCUGGAACUCACCUUGUAGAUCAGGUUGGCCUCAGACUCACAGAGAUCCUCCUGCCUCUGCCACCCAAGUCCUAGGACUAAUGGCAUGUGUAUCCAUCACCCAGCAGCCCUCUAUUCGUAAGUCAAAAUAAACAAUUUCUUGUAUAAUUCA